rnacentral:rRNA from 1 species
UAUUGCACAAUGGGGGAAACCCUGACGCAGCGACGCCGCGUGAGUGAAGAAGUAUUUCGGUANGUAAAGCACUAUCAGCAGGGAANNUCNNNANGGUACCUGACUAAGAAGCCCCGGCUAACUACGUGCCAGCAGCCGCGGUAAUACGUAGGGGGCAAGCGUUAUCCGGAUUUACUGGGUGUAAAGGGUGCGUAGGUGGCAGGGCAAGUCAGAUGUGAAAGCCCGGGGCUCAACCCCGGUACUGCAUUUGAAACUGUCCAGCUGGAGUGCAGGAGAGGUAAGCGGAAUUCCUAGUGUAGCGGUGAAAUGCGUAGAUAUUAGGAGGAACACCAGUGGCGAAGGCGGCUUACUGGACUGUAACUGACACUGAGGCACGAAAGCGUGGGGAGCAA